rnacentral:rRNA from 1 species
GACAGGGGUCUCGAGCGUUAAUCGGAAUCACUGGGCUUAAAGGGUGCGUAGGCGGGCCUGCAAGUGCCUUGUGAAAUCCCCCGGCUCAACCGGGGAACUGCGGGGCAUACUGCGGGUCUUGAGGAAGGUAGGCGCCGAGGGAACAGUAGGUGGAGCGGUGAAAUGCGUAGAUAUCUACUGGAACGCCGAUGGUGAAGACGCUCGGCUGGGCCUUUCCUGACGCUGAGGCACGAAAGCGUGGGGAGCAAAC